GGGGGUAUAGCUCAGUGGUAGAGCAUUUGACUGUAGAUCAUAGAGGUCCCAGGUUCAAAUCCUGGUGCCCCCU